rnacentral:misc_RNA from 1 species
GGUCCUUAUAGUUAAUACAAACAGCGGUGGUCAUGCAGUUAUUGGGUUCUACUUUGCGAAAGAGCUUCUGGGUUCCGGCCAUGAGGUCACUAUCAUGACUGUUGGUGAACAGAACUCCGACAAAAUGAAGAAGCCUCCAUUCAGCAGAUUCUCAGAAAUUGUUAGUGCCGGUGGACGGACAGUGUGGGGAGACCCAGCAGAAGUAGGGAAAGCUGUGGAAGGAGCAACAUUUGAUGUGGUGUUAGAUAACAAUGGCAAGGACCUUGAUACUGUGAGGCCUGUAGCGGACUGGUCCAAGAGUGCUGGUGUGAAGCAGUUCUUGUUCAUCAGCAGUGCUGGAAUCUAUGUACCGACUGAUGAACCUCCUCAUGUUGAAGGGGACGCCGUUAAAGCUAGUGCUGGUCAUGUUGGAGUGGAGAAAUACAUCGCAGAGAUUUUCAAUAGUUGGGCUGUAUUCCGCCCGCAAUACAUGAUUGGUUCAGGCAACAAUAAAGAUUGUGAGGAGUGGUUUUUUGAUCGGAUUGUCCGGAAAAGGCCAGUGCCAAUCCCUGGCUCUGGAAUGCAACUAACCAAUAUUGCCCAUGUUAGAGACUUAUCCUCUAUGCUUACACUAGCUGUUGAAAACGCAGAAGCCGCAAAUGGCAAAAUAUUCAAUUGUGUAAGCGACCGUGCAGUAACUCUGGACGGAAUGGCCAAACUAUGUGCACAAGCUGCAGGUCUACCGGUUGAAAUCGUGCAUUAUGAUCCGAAAGCUGUUGGAAUUGAUGCAAGGAAAGCUUUUCCUUUCCGAAAUAUGCACUUCUACGCAGAACCGAGAGCUGCCAAGGACAUCCUGGGAUGGUGUGCUACCACAAAUCUUCCUGAGGACUUGAAAGAACGAUUUGAUGAGUAUGUAAAGAUUGGGCGAGACAAGAAGCCCAUGCAGUUCGAGAUAGAUGAUAAAAUACUUGAAUCCCUCAAAGUUCCUGUAGCAGAGUGAUCAAUUUUAUCAAAAUAGUGACAAGUCAAAAAUACAAGAGUAGCCUGUGGGAGCCGUGAUUUUGUGAUCCUCUCUUACAUGUUACAGUUUUGUUAAAAAUCGUUAAAGUCCUUUAAAUAUCUUCAAUGGCAGAAAAUUAAUGAAUAAAUCCAAGUCCUUAGUUUACAUGUUUGUUUCUAGAAAAAGAGAUGGAAGGGGAUGGAAAACCUUGCAUAUUACUGCAUAGAAUCAAAUUUAUCAUUGCAACAAAAUCAAUGCUUUAUUCACUUUUGGAAAAAAUCAACGCAAUGGUGGAUGCGCAACUCAAGGUCUUACCAGCUGGGCUCAACAUUAUGAUCAUAGAAAAGCUCAUUUCAAAGAUACAGUUGACCAGCCAGUCAGCACUCUUUUACCUUAACUGUAACAUCAUUUUCAGCACAAUUAGGUAAACACAAUAACAGCAAAAAAAUAUUUCAAGUCCAAAAAGGCUUGGGCAGCCAAAUUUUAUCUAAAAUGUCGAGCAUGCAUACACUAUGAAAGACACAUACUCCCCUAUACUGAUAGCCACUAGUAAAUGAUAAAAAGAAAAAAAAAUAUACUGCCUAAAGCAAUACAACAUUGCCUAGCAAAUCCUAAAACUAAACUCUGAUCCCAUGUAUCUUUGAGCGACAGCUGCUGAACUUGGUAGCAUGAUUCCAGGAGGAAAAAGCACCUUUCUCAGCUAACUUAUAAUGGAUGAAUGAUGAAUCUAUUAAACCUGAUUAAUGCAGCUGGACUAGAUUGCAUUGAAACAAGCUUUUAAUCCAAAAACAAUCAUAAGUCCAUGGAUAAGUUUUAAUUUCAGAGACAGCUAAGACAGCAGAUUACUUCUGAUGGAAUCACUAUUCAUCAUGCUUGAUUUCAAGCCCCUUGAGUUUCAAUUCCAAUUCAUCUUCAUUAUCUGCAUCCUCUUCUUUCGCCUCCUCAUCAAGAUCUUCACCUUCUGGAUCAUUCUCAUCCAAAGGCCCUAGCACACCAUGCAAAUUCUUGAAUAUAUCCUUCACCUCAUCAAUCCCUUCAUCAGAUAUAAAAUUACCAUUUAUAUUUAGCAACUUAAAUCCAGGCUUAAGCACAACAGUCUGUCCCAAGAGCCUUGCCCCAGCCCUUCUGAUUGAGUUAGAGCUCAAAUCAACUUCACUUAACUGGCCAUGACCACUCUCUAUUGCCUUGGCAAUCAAAAUGGCACCUUCAUCCUUAAGUUCAUUCUCAGAAAGGUUUAACUUUCUGAGAAAUUGUUUUGCUGCAAUACAGUCUGCCAAAGAAGAAGCUCCUUUGGCAGUAAUAUCAUUACCAGCCAUUUCAAGAACUUCAAGUGAAGGUGCAGACUCUUUUAGAGCGUUGGCAAGUGCUUCUGCCCCGUCAUCCUCCAAAUUUAGAUAACUGAGGUAAACCUCAGUAAGAUCUCCAAAUGCAACAAGAGACUUACUCAAAGCAAGUCCAGCUUCCACCCCAAACAUAUUGUCACGCAGAUCAAGCUUCCUCAAAUGACUACAUUUUCCAAGUGCUCCAGCCAAUACAACACCACCAUCUGAGCCAAUCCUUGUUGAAGAACAUCGAAAAUCCUCCAACAUAGUAGAUAGUUUCACAAUGUCAGCAAUAGCAAUUGCACCUUCAUCACCUGUCAUGUUAUUGUGAAACUGAAGGACCUUGAGCUUCUCAGUGGAAGGGAUUAGCUCACAAACUGCACGAGCAGCUUCCUCUGAGAUACCAUCAUUUAUCAGAUAAAGCUCCUCCAGGUUAUUCUGUGAUUUAAGGAGUGACCCAAAAGCCCUUACACCCUUUUCACCCAAGGCAUUGUUUGAAAGGUUCAGAUACCUCAAGUUACAACCCUCCAGGGCCGAAGAAAAUAUAUUCAUGACUUCAAGAGCUUCUGACUCUGGCCUUCCUGCAACAAAGUCAGAUAAGUCUACUUCUGUUAAUUGAUCCUUUAUUGACGACAAGAUUGGCUCUGCAACACCAGCAGCAUCCAAUCCAAAACUUCUAUUGCUGAAACAGAUCUUAGUAUAUGUGUUUUCUGGCUCCUUAAGUGGUUUUAAAAGAUCCUCAGCCUCCUCUGCACUGAUAAAUGCUCGUCGACCACCAGAUAUAUCAAAUAGAUCUGCAUGCACAGCAGCACUUUUCUCAGCCGCUGCUGCCUCUCCAUCCUCCUUCAUUCUAGGGCCCCUUUUAAGAACUUCCAGCAUGAGCUUACUGGACUCUUUGGCAUAAACCUGCACUGCAGAACUUCCAUCACCAUCUGGCUCUUUCUGAUAGUGUUGGUCUGCAGCAGCAAAUGCUGACUCUUCAAUUGUCUUGGCAUCCUCCUCAGCCUCUUCUUUACUCAAAACACCAUACUUUCUGGAAAUAAUAGAUGGAGUGAUAAGAUUUUUUGUCAUCCGCUCUACAAGCAUUAGCCUAGUACUCUGACUAGGCGGCCACAAUUUGACAUGAAGAGUUCGGUGUUGGAACAUUUGUGUUGUAGAAUCCAUGUCAAACUAACCCGAGACGAAGCGAGCAAUGUUAGAAACCCUAGAUGCUUCCACAGAAACAAACGGGAACUGAAAACCCUAAAAGUGUAAACUGAGUGUGCUUGAAAAAUUAAGAACAGGACGAAAUUGAUUAUUGGGGAAGGGAAUAAAGAGUUUGAAAAUGUGUAAUGUAGAGAUAUCAGUUUCCGUAAAAAUAAGGUUAAAAUGAGGAGAUAAGGAAAAAAGAAAAAUGAAAAAGCGUGCACU